CAAACAACCACAACCCCUGAGUUUAUUCAAGCCUGCAUGUUUAUUGUGUUUCCAUUACAGGGAAAGGAAGUUUGAGAGGUGAGCUCCAAAGAGCAAAGGAGAGAAAAUGGAGACUUUUCUAGUUCUGCAGCCCCUGGGAUGGGAAAACACUCACAUCCCAGCACUUGUCCUCCGAAUGCCACUAGUGAAGACAACUACUUGGAUAGUCUUAGUCCAGAAAGGCAGAUUCCUCCUGUAUACACUUCACUAGCAGAAGAAGCAACAAGAGGUUAAAGAACAAAAAUUAUAGGUGUCAUAUUGUGGUCCAGCACUUCAGGUGAUGAACUGAAGGAUCAAGCGAGCAGGACCUCGUUCCUGAACUCCAGAGGUGACUGAGACCAGAACUCUGAAACAUGGGCUAGUCUGUGGUUAUGUGAAUAUACCCUCUGAGUCCAAUGGGAAGACUCAGAUGCUGGGCUGAAUAAUACUCUUCUUCCACGUAUGUUUUAACAUCUUGUUUGCAAAAUUGUAACAAUACUUUUUUUCCCCUUGAGCUUCAUCCAUGUUCUCUGCUUAGGUUGUGGUCCUACAGCAGGGAUGAUCUCUUACUCUGUCUUUAUGUGCUGCCUAGCACAAUGGGGCUCUCAGCCUGACAGGAGCCUCUAGGCAUCAGUGUGUUACAAAUAAAAACAGGGACAACAAUAAACUGUUGCCUCAGUUUUGAAAUGUGCCACUCAUUGCUACAAGAACUGGAGCCCACAAAAUAAUUCUGCAAUCUAAGUAGACCUGAAACUGGCACCAGCUAGUAAGCAGCUACUCAUGGCAAGAGAAGCUGCUAGAAUUAGAGUUAUUGCCCCAGUGGAGCAAUGAGCCUUCAGAACAAAGAACUAUCACACUGCUAAAGUCAGUUUGGAAAAAGUAAAUGAUGUAGGUAGAACAUGAAAAAUACACAGUCUUGAGCCAAAGCACUAUAGAGCCAACAGCUUUGGAUCAGUCCCUAUAUGCAUAGUAUAUAUGGUAAAACCCAAAGCAUUCUAAGCUGUUCGGUGUUAUAAGUCAAGAAUAUUUUCUAGAGACACAGGAUUUCAUCCUGACAGAGUCCCUUCAAGCUCUGCCAAGAAAACUGAACGCUGCAUAGGAAAAGUAAAUACCUUUCUACACAAAGACCUCCCAAACUAGUUUAAAAAAAAUUGAAUUAUUGUCAUUUUUAUGUGGUUAAACCAUAUGAAAGUGAUACAAAGAACUCUUCUUAGUUCUAAAAUAAACAUCCAUCAGUGUGGAGUAAGGUUUGUCUGGAAGUGUCUUACUUAACAUCUGACACCUGCCUGCAUAGAGAUGUUUCUCAGUGCACACAGACUGGGUGGCAGCUGUGUAUAUGCACAUGCAACAGGCUAAGUAAAUCACAUACUAUGUCAAUACUGGCUUCCCCUUGUCCUCUGCCAACCUGCACAUCCUCUGUUGGAUCCUGCAGACUGAGAAGUCAACUCAGAGCCCAUACAUCUCCUCCCUUCCUUUUGGGAGAUCUGUUCUUGAUCUGGAGCUGCACUUCUGGCAAAUCUUCCUGUUUCAUAGGUGUGAAAGGCUUUCUUAAGGCUCCUUUAGCAGAUUUAUCUUGGGUUGAGUAAAUAUCCUCAGUGUCAGGUCUUAAAUGUCAUCCAGAAGUGAUCUUAAAAUUUAGGCAGUAGAGAGAAUUACUGUCAAUUCUGUUUGGGUAGCAUACUUUCCUGCAGUGAAGCUACAGGGUGGAGAUGAAGACUCCAGGGUUGGUACCUGGCUUUAUAAUCAAACUAGUCUCCAAGAAAGAGGCAUAAAAGACAAGAAUUUAACUAGAACUAAUUCUUCAUUCAGAUCUCAGAGGAAAACAGAGAUUUAACUAGGCUUUGAAAAAGCUAAUAAAAAUUUGAUUAAGCAAUAAAAAUGAAAAGUUAAAGAACUUUUAGAUUAUCAGCAGUGACAGAAAAAUAAUUCAUACUUAGUUGUUGUUCACUGCCAGCUGACAAAAUCUGUUGUUCAGUAUCACCAAAGUGAAAGGAAGCUGAACGGGCAGGGAAGGUUUCAGGGGAUCAUUGUGCACAACGGAGAGUGAGCUGCUUUUCUAUGAAAAGAAUCUUCCUUGCAAGUGAAGGGAAUCCAUUAAAGAGAUGCCUAUGCAGCCAACACAUGCAAGCAGAUCAAAGGCUCAAUGAGAGUGCUCUGGGAGCUGACAGAUGUGCCCUGCAUUCAUUCUGUAGACUUGUCAGUGUCAAUAUUGCAGCUCAUUAUAGAUGAACAUGGAAGGGAGCCAAUAUUUAUAGAACAGAGCCAAAUAGGGGAAAAUAGAGGAGGACGUCAACAUUCAGAGAACAGCGGGUAAAUAAGCAUGCAACAACUCUAAAAAUGGUGCGUUUUGUUGUUGGAAUAACCUGAUAUGUUUUGAGCAAUAUAUAGAAGGUUCCUUACAGUAAAAAAACCUUGCUGUUCCCUUGGGUUGAAGGCAGAGGACAUCAACCAUUAGAGCAGGUCAGAAAAGAGGUUUUGUGUUUUCCUGCCAAAAGUUCUAACAGUGGGAGGUUGUCUAGUAGGUCUUUCAGGGGACUACUUUAGAUGCAGAAUACAUGAAACACAGAGGAACAUGAAAAGACAAUUUUAGGUAGGUGAACAGGUUUGGCAAGGAAUUGGUUUGAGAGGUUAGCUGCUGAAAAGUACCUCACAAGAGAUUUUUACUCUGUAUAACUGUGGCACUGAUAGCGAUGGAUGUCUUUGAUACAGCUACACAGAUCAGAUUAGGCUUCAUAGACAAACGAGUACCAGUUUCUGUCUCAAGUUUAGGUUGGACUCAUGCUUAAAGCAGAAACUUCUUACAAGGAGGUUGUUCAGCUCUUAUGUGAGAUACAAUGAAAAUAGGUCCUUGGUAACCCCUUUCAAAAAUGAAGAUAGGAAACAGUGGGGGAACAGAGAAAUGAACGUAAAGGUGGAAAGCUGAUUAAGAAGUAAUAUAGGGAGGUUUGAUGAAUAAGGCAGAAAUUGCAUGAAUUGCACUUGAAAUGACAGAUGGCAGAAACUGAACGAGGAGUCAGGGAGGGACACACAGUUUGGGAACUACACCUUGCCCUAAACUUACAUUAAAGUAACGAAAAAACACAAGAACCACCAAUUUAUGAAAUAAAUUGUGUGCAUCAGUCUAUGAAGUGCUCUCAUACAGUUCUGUAAAGAAGCAGAGGGAAUUUAACACCCUGCUGCCCAUGACAGAGCUGCUUUGUGUUGAGUGCUCCCUGGCUUUUUUCACACUGGUGCUCUCUGUGCUGGACUGUCUGAUAAACCAACACCUCUUCCUAGGCCUAACUUUAUGCUACAUGGAAUAUGUUAAAAAGCAGUUCCUAAAGGAGAAAUCAACAAGCUUACAGACAAAGAAAGAAAAAGCUCAGCAGGUGAGAAAGAUAUGUGAUGAACUGAUCAUUUGUAAUCUGAAAUACAAUCUAAAGUGAAGCAAUUUAAAAAUGGGAUAGCUGAAAAUGCACGUAGAUGGAACAGGAAGAAUAUACCAGCAGUCUGACUUCACAACUUGUAAGAUCAAUAUUGAAGAACAUGUGAUUUUGUCCCACAGAGUAACAAGACUCCUAAAAUUCAAGAAUGCCUUUGCUGAAAUGAUCAGUGCAGGAAAGAAGUGAAGGAGAUGUUACUGGAUUGAAUGGACAAAGCAAGCAGAUUCAUGAAUGAAACAGUGUUCGGAAAAAAUGGAGUGGGCUUAAGUAAUUCUCUAGCCAGUCCACGUUUUAUAAGCAGUACUGCCACAAAAACAGCAGAUAACAUGAGCUUCUUUCUGACCUGGCUGGCAGCAUUACAGGGAUAAUAUUUUCAUUAGGAUGAACUGUUCCUGAACUAUUUUGCCAUGGCAGAAGGUACAAACUGAGACUGUCUUUCAAAACCAAGCAUAUAAGGUUUUCCUUUAGUUUGUUUGGUAGGUGGAUGGCUUGCUUGUGCUUCUGCAGAUGUGACAGACUUACCUGGCAGAUAGAACAUUCCUUGUUUAAUCAGUAUGGCUCCUUUUAUAGGUACUUAAUUCACUCCAAACUGAAUGGUUAUGAAGGCACCUCCUCCAUUUACUUUAUGUGUGAGUCCUUCUGAUGUGCAAGUAUAGUACAGAACUGUACAAUACAUUUGCAACAGUUGGGGUCAUUUAUUUGUUCUCCUUUUACAUACCUUGUCUUUUUAUCAUGAAGGUUCAUUGGUUUGAAAGUAUUGGGUAUUCUUUAGGCUACUGCUAUCAUAAGUUACUUCAGCAGUACUGUAAAUGGCAGGUAUAAUGGUGCUCUUCAUUUCACCCAUUUUUAAAGGUAGCGAUGACACAGUAAAAUCAGCUGUUUAUAAGACCUUGUAGCUUAUUUCACAGGUUAAUGCUUCAGUGAAAAAGUUAAUCCUGGCCAUUACACUACAAAACAUUUUACUUAACUUUAUAUUUGGCACAAGAGCAAAGGAGUGCUCUUUAUUGUCACUGCUGGGAAAGCUUUCUUUUGGGAGCUGAAUCCUGCUGUUGAGGCAGUAAAUUAAUACACAAGAAAACCGAGGAUAAAUUUGCAGAAAAAACCCUAAGAAUUAGAAGUUCUGAAAUGCUGAAGUGAGAGCAUAUUUGUUCAGAAUACUGAAAAAUAUAAAGUGGAAGUGAAUAUUAAGUUCUGGUUAGCACAGGCAUUAGAGAAGAGAAAGGUAGAGUGAAGUUGACUGUAUUAAGGUGGAAUUACUAACAGUGCCAGGAAAAAACAGAAGAGGAAUUUUCCUCUGCAAAGGGACUCACUAAGUUCCUACCAUGACUUUAAAAUCACACUCAUCACAAACCAAGCUACAAAAAACCCGUGGUGGGGCAUGGUGAGAUUGUUUGAACACAAAGGUGUACUAACCUGGUGAAAUUUGUAACCUGGAGAUUUUUUUAGAAGAAAAUAAUCUACUAGGUAUACAGAAUUUGGAAUAAGAAGUGUUGCCUGCUAUUCUUUGAAGUAAGAAGGAAAAAUGGUAUAAGUUAUUAAAUAAAUAAUUUACAAUUGCCCUCUAAUAUUUUAUAAACAUAGUAGCCUGGAUGGAAUAUAACUUGAAAUGGAGGAAAAUGUCUAUGGGUGAAAUCCUAUCUAAUGAAGGAACCAUCAAAUUAUUUAAAAAAGCAAAGUGGCCGGGAAAGCAGUCUGAAAUUUUAAACUAGAAGAGCUGAAGCCAGACUGUAAUGGAGACUCCAGACAUGCUCCACUGACCUUAGCAACUUGCAUGUUGCUCUGCUUCACAUUUAGAUGUGACGUGCAUAGGAAAAGACUGCUUUCUAUGGAUCCCCUCGGUGACUCCACUGUAGCUGCUGUUGAAUGAGAGAUACUAAGGAGCAUGCAGUUACUGCUCCACCACAGGCAACACAUCCAUUGAGAAUGGGGAAGGGUAGGCUGUCAGACACAUCUUGGAUAAGCUCUUAACAACUGGAGAGGGUAAAAAAGGGCCGGUUUAUUAUAAAAAUACGGGAGAGAAAGAGAAAUGUUUUAAGGUCACAGAUUAAUACAUUUUAAGGCCCAGGUGAUACUACAGUAGUGCAGGGUAGUCAUACAGGUAACGCAGGUACAGCUAGGGACAGAGCUUCUUUUGAUGUCUUUGUACAGUCCUGUCUUUAGCAAAGUAAACUGAGCCAACAGAUGUGGUUCUGAGCC